rnacentral:tRNA from 1 species
AGGAUAUUAGUUAAAUUUUUAUAACUUUAAAAUUGCAUUUUAAUAUUAUUUUAUAUAAAAUAUAUCUUA